GGAUGUGUAACUCAGUGGUAGAGUUUAGAGUUACUUGCCCAGCACAUGCAAAGUCCUGGGUUCAAUUCCCAGCACCACUG
rnacentral:tRNA from 1 species